GACGAACGCUGGCGGCGUGGAUUAGGCAUGCAAGUCGAACGGUAGGAUACCUUCGGGUAUCUGAGAGUGGCGAACGGGUGAGUAACACGUAGGUGAUCUACCCUCAAGAUUGGGACAACCCGGGAAACUUGGGCUAAUACCGGAUGAAAGCAGCAGUGAUGUUGUUUGAAAGGUGGCGUAAGCUGCCGUUUGGGGAUGAGCCUGCGCUCUAUUAGUUAGUUGGCGGGGUAAAGGCCCACCAAGGCGAUGAUAGAUAGGCGGCCUUAACGGGUGGUCGCCCACACUGGGAUUGAGAUACGGCCCAGACUCCUACGGGAGGCAGCAGUCGAGAAUAGUCUACAAUGGCCGAAAGGCUGAUAGUGCGACGCCGCGUGAACGAAGAAGCCCUUCGGGGUGUAAAGUUCUUUUAUAUGUGAGCAGUGCUUUCUAUGUGAACAGCAUGGGGAGAGAGAUAUUAGCAUAUGAAUAAGCAACGGCUAACUCCGUG
rnacentral:rRNA from 1 species